GAAUGAAGAACGCAGCGAAAUGCGAUAAGUAGUGUGAAUUGCAGAAUUCAGUGAAUCAUCGAAUCUUUGAACGCACAUUGCGCCCCUUGGUAUUCCAUGGGGCAUGCCUGUUCGAGCGUCAUUUGUACCUUCAAGCUCUGCUUGGUGUUGGGUGUUUGUCUCGCCUCUGCGUGUAGACUCGCCUCAAAACAAUUGGCAGCCGGCGUAUUGAUUUCGGAGCGCAGUACAUCUCGCGCUUUGCACUCAUAACGACGACGUCCAAAAGUACAUUUUUACACUCUUGACCUCGGAUCAGGUAGGGAUACCCGCUGAACUUAAGCAUAUCAAUAAGCGGAGGA
rnacentral:misc_RNA from 1 species